GACGAACGCUGGCGGCGUGCCUAAUACAUGCAAGUCGAACGCAGUGGGGACGGGUGAGUAACACGUGGGUAACCUCCCAUCAGAGGGGAUAAAACUUGGAAACAGGUGCUAAAACGAUACUGAUGGAUGGAACCGCGGUGCAUUAGCUAGUUGGUGAGGUAACGGCGCACCAAGGCCACGAUGCAUAGCCGACCUGGUAGGUGGAUCGGCCACACGGGGACUGAGACACGGCCCAGACUCCUACGGGAGGCAGCAGUAGGGAAUCUUCCGCAAUGGACGAAAGGCUGACCGAGCAACGCCGCGGGAGUGAAGAAGGUUUGCGGAUCGUAAAACUCUGUUGUUAGAGAAGCGUUAUCUAACCAGAAAGCCACGGCUAACUACGUGCCAGCAGCCGCGGUAAUAC
rnacentral:rRNA from 1 species